CAGAGAAGGGAGAAAUCCUUAUCAUUUGAGGGAGCAAUCUCCAUUUGUUUUGCAGGAUGAUUAACAGACCUGUGAACCUGGAAAGGGGCAAUUUGGUUCCCAUGAGAUGACUGUCUCUGCUUACUGUCAUUCUUCUCAUGGGGUAACCUCUCUGCAAGGCUCCACUGUUCCUGGAAGGUUUACGACACUGUCUGAAGAUUUCCAGGUGCUGCUGCAGAAGGAAGUUGUAAAAGUGAGUAGUAGAAUGUCCCUGCAAAUCUUGAAAAAUACCUACUUACUGUUAUCUUGGUGUCUUCAGCCUUGAAACAGGCAAUUACCAGCUUUAAAUGAACCCUCCUUAAAUGCUUACCACGCCUGUGUACAAAGGUGAGCAGAAAUCUGACCCACAGUUUAAGGUAAUAAAGGAGACAGAUACAAAAUGAAGGCAGAGAUGCCAAGCUUGAUCCUUUUUUAGUUACCCAUCAGUCAUCAGCAGGUCCAAGUGAAGUCAGUGCUUAUUAGCAAAGGCUGCCUCUCUAAGUCCCUGUUAUAAUUGAGGGCUCAGACUCAUUCCGUUUUUGUAAUACUUUUAAUGAGCAGUAGAUCAUGAGUUAAGGCCUUGGGAGUACAUCUGCCUUUUGUCACUGUGGUGGUCCCUAACUGUCUUAAUCAGCGACGCCUCAACGGGAUCUAGCCCUAAGAGUUGCCAAUACAUAUGUGACCUCAGCACUGUGCUGAUUUACUGGCAGAUUCCUUAUAAUGGGCCAAAUGGGAGCAGAGUUUGGAGCCUGGAGAUAGAUACUUAGAAGGCUAAGCAAUGGCCUGGACAAGAGAUAAACAGGAAAGUGAUAAGGGCGUAAGGAAAGCAGGAACCAUAGGGAGGGAUCUGAGUGGAAUUACACUGACAUCUCCUGCUUCUGACCCAGGACAAGGAAGGGAAGAAAGGUUGGAUUUCACUGUCUCACAAGGAAAGAGAGUAGAGGAAGGAGCCUCUGGGGAAGUAAGGAAGGGUUCUUCUAGACCAAUCCAGGUGGGGAGGGCAUAUGUGGUCCCCAGAGUGCAGAAGCAUGUGUAACUAAAUGGCAUAAACAUUCUUCCCCUCAAGGCUCCUCAACCAUUGAAGGAAGAGAAGGGAAGGAAGGGCUUUACCUGCCUCAAUCUGAAGUUGUUCUGAAGGGUGUGGAACCUCAGACUAGGGCAGCAGCCUGAGCACAUCACGCUGAUCUAUUCCUUCUUCUUUCCUGGGUAUGUGGGUGUCUGCAUAGGAUUUUAUGUGCAUACCUCGGCCUGUGUGAAUCUAUAGGUAGACAGGCACAUAUUUACUUAUAUUUUUGAACUUGUCUUUGUAUAUGUUGUAAAUGACUGGGUCUGCAGACGCAUGUAUUUGAAAUAACAUCUAUGUAUUUUUCCUGUAGGAAUGUGUCUACAGGAUUAGAAUUAGCAUCUCCAUCCUCCAGGAAACCUGAGCAAUCCUACACAUCUAGGCACCUUUGGGCAGAUGCAUCAAUGUGCAAAUGUGACUUGUGUCAGAGCUCUGGUGUUGCACCGGAGCACACUCACACCAACUCACAAAGACCCAGCUUUGUGUACAUCUCUCCAACUCCAUUAAGAGAUAUGUCUGUAGCUUGAAAUCACCAUUGUGGGAAUGUCUAUACCACAGAAAUCAAUAGCUGCUACAAAUCAGGUUAUUGGCUAUGGCUGUUUUAAAGAAAGCCACCUGUUCAACAUUUACCAGCACACCACUGGGUACAGGUUUUAUGCACCUGAGAAUGUCAGUGGUCUAUACCUGUGUCUAUCUGUGUAUAAGUACAUUUAUAAAAGUGCCUACCUGUGUAGUGAGUUCAAUUUUUUAGAGUCUACAAACUCAGGGGUACAAAAAUGUAACUAUUUUCCUACAAUAAACUUGAUUUCUGUCUUAAUUCUCC
rnacentral:lncRNA from 1 species